GACGAACGCUGGCGGCGUGCUUAACACAUGCAAGUCGUACGGUAAGGCCCUUUCGGGGGUCCACGAGUGGCGAACGGGGGAGUAACACGUGAGUAACCUGCCCACAACUUUGGGAUAACGCUAGGAAACUGGUGCUAAUACUGGAUAUGUGCUCCUGCUGCAUGGUGGGGGUUGGAAAGCUCCGGCGGUUGUGGAUGGAGUCGCGGCCUAGCAGAGUGUUGGUGGGGUAGUGGCCUACCAAGGCGGCGACGGGUAGCCGGCGCUAGAGGGUGACCGGCAACAGUGGGACUGAGACACGGACCAGACUCAGACGGCAGGCAGAGGUGGCGAAUAUUAAAAAAUGGGCGCAAGCCUGAUGCAGAAACGCCGCGGGCGGGAUGACGGCCUUCGGGUUGGAAUCCGAUUGCAGCAGGGACGAAGCUUUUUGUGACGGUACCUGCAGAAGAAGCACCGGCUAACUACGUG
rnacentral:rRNA from 1 species